AUUGACACCAUACCAAAGCAGUUCAAUGUUGAAAUACUUAAUAGCGGACAUAACCCAAAACGUGUUCUCUCUUCCAAAGCUUCUGGUGAGCCACCACUGCUCCUAGCAGCUUCAGUCCACUGUGCUACGAAAGCUGCUAUCAGGGAAGCACGGAAACAACUUCAUUCAUGGGGUUGCCUAGAGGGUUCUCAUUCAACGUUCCAGUUGGGGGUCCCUGCCACCAUGCCUAUUGUGAAGGAGCUGUGUGGGCUGGACAUCGUGGAGAGUUACUUGCAGUGUAAAAUUGGCAGCAAUUAAAUACUUAUUAAUGGAUGGAAAGACAAUCUUUGUAUAUACAGAAAACAUACUAGGUAAGUUGGCCAGCAAUAUAUAAACUAGAAUUACACAGUACAUUAUUUNNNNUUAAAUAUUUUGAGUUGUCAAGUUAAGAAAAUUUUAUGGCAAAGUUUUGAUGACUUUUGGUAGGCUG
rnacentral:misc_RNA from 1 species